ensembl:lncRNA
AGGUGUUGCCUAGAACAAAUUGUAAAUUCUUUUGACAGCCCUGAGCUUUUCCAGGCAGGAACACCCCUCUCCCUCUGCUUUCCCUCUGCCUUACCCCCACACACCCCUCCUCUUAUUCCCUCUUACUGGAUCUGAUAGGAUGAACUCCAAGAAACAGAAACUAUCACUCCUACUGAGGGAGAACUUGAAGCUCUAAAAGCGAACUUUAGAAUUAGAAGAUUGAUGUAAACAGUGACAAAGAGAUAGAAGAUGAUAGGAUUUCAGCGGCUAAUUGUUCAUCCUUCUGUGUACCAGCAAGUGUACUGAGCCAAGAGCCACCAAAAGACAUAUUUCUCAAGUUCAGAGUGGCAUCACUGUUGGCAGUUACUCUGAUUCUUUCUCCAGAAUGAUCUUGAAAUUGGCCCUCAUACAUCGUAGCCAAAGAGUCAAUAAGUUGUGAGGAAAACAGCCCAGAGGAAAACGGAUUGCCUUUAGGUACAGAACACAGAGUUCAUCUUGGUUGUUAAACUCAGUGUCCAGAGGAAUUUGCAUGAACCGUCUUCUGUAGGUAGUUAAGGAAGAAUAGUCCAAGACGGGGUGUGUGUGUGUGUGUGUGUUUUAGGUGUAGGGAAAGGAACGUGUGGUAUCUAAAAGCACAAAAGUUACGAAAUGGUGGAACUGAUUUGUGGAGCUUCAGGAAGGCUGCCAAUGGCAUUUAUGUUGUUAGAGAGAAACUCUGGGACAGAACUGGUCCUGGAAUUUGGGACUACAGAUAUUUCAGCUCUUGUCAGGAAAAGAAAUGCAAGCACUGGUUUGGAUAUUACAGCUGAUGCUAAAUCAAUCGUGAACAUAUUUAGCCACAAAAAUUCAAAGACUUAAUUGG